GGGGAGAAUAACAUUUUGUUGGAAAAUGGAAACCAAGCUAACUAGCUACCUACCAAAGUUGUCCAAUGGAUACACUUCCCCUACCCAUGGUGCUGGGAUAGGCUGCAUUGGGACGAGGAUGCAUCAACACCGUGGAAAGAGGUUUUUUUGCACACUCACUCAUAACACUUUAUUUGUGAUAAAUGAGUGUAUCGUCCUCAAGCUUGAUAAGAAGCAAUCAGUUAUGGCAAAAAGAGAGAUUGAGGCCUUCAAUCGAACUGAGGACAGAGAAAUGUGUCCGCCAGAUCAAGGCUUCUUUUUUCUUUUGUUUUUAGGGGGUAGAUCAGC